UACGGGGGGGGCAAGCGUUGUUCGGAAUUACCGGGCGUAAAGGGCUCGUAGGUGGCCAACUAAGUCAGACGUGAAAUCCCUCAGCUUAACUGGGGAACUGCGUCUGAUACUGGAUGGCUUGAGUUUGGGAGAGGGAUGCGGAAUUCCAGGUGUAGCGGUGAAAUGCGUAGAUAUCUGGAGGAACACCGGUGGCGAAGGCAGCCCCCUGGGUCGACACUGACGCUCAUGCACAAAAGCGUGGGGAGCAAACAGG
rnacentral:rRNA from 1 species